rnacentral:tRNA from 1 species
GCGGGCGUAGCUCAGACGGUAGAGCGUCUCCCUGCCAUGGAGAAGGUCGCGGGUUCGAGUCCCGUCGCCCGCUC